UAAAAUUUGUUUCCAUUUCCAAUAAUUGAGUAAUUUUUUUGUUAUGACAGUCUCGAGCAUUGGGUAUGAUUCGCUCUCAUGUACUUUCUGUACUCAAAAGUGCGUCUUCUCAGGUUCAGUCAGCAAUCCGGAGCAAUAGUAGCAGCAAGGCAUCUCUUGCUGAGGGUGUAUUCUUGGUUGGAUGAUGCUAUUGAAUAAGUUCUCAAUUUGCAACUUAAGCUAGUGCUGAAGGAAAUUGAAAGUAGAUCAUCAAGAAAAGAGUAUAUUCAGCUACUUGCAGAAUGCCACAAACUUUAUUGUGAGCAGAGGCUUUCCUUGGGAUCAAAGAAUCAGAAAGAAAAAAACAUAUAAAACUCUGCAGCAACAAUCUACUGCAGUAAUCUUGUUAUUCACUUUAAAGUUAAGACUUCCGGCAACAACACCUCUGGCACUCUACAGAUUCCCUAGAUGUGACAAGCGAAGUAUAAAAGGAUACUUAAGACUCUUUGAAAGUAGUAACUCU